CUGAGGUUUCUGAUCUAUCAUGCUGACGACGGUUGGUGAUAUGCCAACCGUGGCGUUAACGGAUAACAGAGAAUCUGGGUUCGAUUCUGGAGAGGCCGCAUGAGAAACGGCGACCACUUCUAAGGAAGGCAGCAGGCACGCAAAUUACCCACUUCGAACACCGAGAGGUAGUGACGAACAAUACCGAUGCGGCGCACAUACGUGCCGCCGUAAUCGGAAUGAGUACACUUCAAACCUUUUAACGAGGAUCCACUGGAGGGCAAGCCUGGUGCCAGCAGCCGCGGUAAUUCCAGCUCCAGCAGCGUAUAUUUAUAUUGCUGCGUUUAAAAAGCUCGUAGUUGAAGCGUCAGACGCGGAAGGGCGGACGGCCGCACUGGUCGCUCUCGCCCGACCGAGCCAGGCGCAGAGGGCGCGCGUCGCUUGCACUUCGUCGUGUGAGCGCGCCGCCGCUGCACGUUCACCUUGAAGAAAUUGAACCGCUUAGAGGGGGCGAGCAGCUUGUACAGCUCAGCAUGGUAUGAUGGAACAUGGGCUCGUACUCAUUUUGUUGGUUAGAGAGUCGGCGAGCCAAUGAUUAACAGGGACUGCCGGGGGCAUUCGUACUCGGACGGGAGAGGUGAAAUUCAAGGAUCGUCCGAAGACGUCCAACUGCGAAAGCAUUUGCCAAGAAUGUUUUCAUUAAUCAAGAACGAAAGUCAGAGGUGCGAAGGCGAUCAGAUACCGCCGUAGUUCUGACCGUAAACGAUGCCGACUGGCAAUUGGGCGCACUUCUGUCGAAGUUGCUGCCAGCAGUAUUGCCCGGGAAACCAAAGUCAUUGGGUUCCGGGGGGAGUAUGGUUGCAAAGCUGAAACUUAAAGGAAUUGACGGAAGGGCACCACCAGGAGUGGAGCCUGCGGCUUAAUUUGACUCAACACGGGAAACCUCACCCGGCCCGAACACUGUUAUGACAGACAGGUUGAGAGCUCUUUCUCGAUUCAGUGGUUGGUGGUGCAUGGCCGUUCUUAGUUCGUGGAGCGAUCUGUCUGGUUAAUUCCGAUAACGAACGAGACUCUUGCCUGCUAAAUAGACGGCGUCGACAUAGCGCGGCGACCGUUCGCUUCUUAGAGGGACAAGCGGCUUUUAGCCGCGUGAAGCUGAGAGCAAUAACAGGUCAGUGAUGCCCUCAGA
rnacentral:rRNA from 1 species